rnacentral:rRNA from 1 species
AUUGAACGCUGGCGGAAUGCCUUACACAUGCAAGUCGAACGGCAGCACGGACUUCGGUCUGGUGGCGAGUGGCGAACGGGUGAGUAAUGUAUCGGAACGUGCCCAGUCGUGGGGGAUAACGUAGUGAAAAUUACGCUAAUACCGCAUACGAACUAUGGAUGAAAGCGGGGGAUCGCAAGACCUCGCGCGAUUGGAGCGGCCGAUAUCAGAUUAGGUAGUUGGUGGGGUAAAGGCCCACCAAGCCAACGAUCUGUAGCUGGUCUGAGAGGACGACCAGCCACACUGGAACUGAGACACGGUCCAGACUCCUACGGGAGGCAGCAGUGGGGAAUUUUGGACAUUGGGCGAAAGCCUGAUCCAGCCAUUCCGCGUGCAGGAUGAAGGCCCUCGGGUUGUAAACUGCUUUUGUACAGAACGAAAAGGUUUCUACUAAUACUAGGAGCUCAUGACGGUACUGUAAGAAUAAGCACCGGCUAACUACGUGCCAGCCGCCGCCGUAA